rnacentral:rRNA from 1 species
UACGGAGGAUGCGAGCGUUAUCCGGAUUUAUUGGGUUUAAAGGGUGCGUAGGCUGUUAUAUAAGUCAGUGGUGAAAUAUUCGGGCUCAACCGGGAUACUGCCAUUGAUACUGUAUAGCUGGAAUAUGGUUGCUGUGAGUGGAAUGUGUGGUGUAGCGGUGAAAUGCAUAGAGAUCACACAGAAUAUCGAUUGCGAAGGCAACUCACAAAGCCAUUAUUGACGCUGAUGCACGAAAGUGUGGGGAUCAAACAGG